rnacentral:rRNA from 1 species
GAUGAACGCUAGCGGCAGGCUUAAUACAUGCAAGUCGAACGGCAGCGGGUCCAGCAAUGGAUGCCGGCGAGUGGCGCACGGGUGCGUAACACGUAUGCAACCUACCUUUAACCGGGACAUAACCUCGAGAAAUCGUGGCUAAUAUUCCAUAAUAUCUUUGAAUCGCAUGGUUUGAAGAUCAAAAUUCCGAUGGUUUUAGAUGGGCAUGCGCGACAUUAGCUAGUUGGUGAGGUAAUGGCUCACCAAGGCUACGAUGUUUAGGGGGUCUGAGAGGAUGAUCCCCCACACUGGUACUGAGACACGGGCCAGACUCCUACGGGAGGCAGCAGUAAGGAAUAUUGGGCAAUGGGCGCAAGCCUGACCCAGCCAUGCCGCGUGCAGGAUGACAGCCCUACGGGUUGUAAACUGCUUUUAUACGGGAAAAAACCCUCUGACGUGUCAGAGGCUGAUGGUACCGUAAGAAUAAGCAUCGGCUAACUCCGUGCCAGCCGCCGCAGUAACAC